UACAGAGGUCCCGAGCGUUGUUCGGAUUCAUUGGGCGUAAAGGGUGCGUAGGCGGCGGGGCAAGUCUGAUGUGAAAUCCCGGGGCUCAACCCCGGAACUGCAUUGGAUACUGCCUUGCUUGAGUACUGGAGAGGAGACUGGAAUUUACGGUGUAGCGGUGAAAUGCGCAGAUAUCGGGAGGAACACCCGUAGCGAAGGCGGCACUCUGGGCCGGAACUGACGCUGAGGAGCGAAAGCGUGGGGAGCAAACAGG
rnacentral:rRNA from 1 species